rnacentral:rRNA from 1 species
UACGAGGGGGGCAAGCGUUGGUUCGGAAUUAUUGGGCGUAAAGGGCGCAGUAGGCGGUGCGGUAAGUUCACCUGUGAAAUCUCUGGGCUCAACUCAGAGUCUGCAGGCGAAAACUGCCGUGCUGGAGUAAUGGGAGAGGUGCGUGGAAUUCCCGGUGUAGCGGUGAAAUGCGUAGAUAUCUGGAGGAACACCGGUGGCGAAGGCGGCAUCCUGGACCGGCAUUGACGCUGAGGCGCGAAAAGCCA